GUGGGAUUGGCACAGCGGCGACUGCAGCAGACUGUAAAUCUGAUCCGAAAGGCACGUAGGUUCGAGUCCUACAUCCCACACCA
rnacentral:tRNA from 1 species